rnacentral:lncRNA from 1 species
AAUAGUAAGCGUGCUCGUGUAUUGGACUAAAGCUGGAAUCUGCACGCAAACACAAAGGAGAAGACAAAGUAAUUUGGCUCUUUGAAAGCUAAACAGGUAUGCAUGAAAGAGCCAAUAAACAAUGUAACCAAUAUCUUCUACCUUGACCCAAAGAAAAAGAAAACUAUCUACACGAGAAAUCUCCCAACAAGCAAAAGAAGAAAAAGAAAA